rnacentral:rRNA from 1 species
UACAGAGGGUGCAAACGUUGCUCGGAAUUAUUGGGCGUAAAGCGCACGUAGGCGGUUCGUUAAGUCAGAUGUGAAAGCCCCGGGCUCAACUCGGGAAGUGCAUUUGAAACUGGCGGGCUUGAAUAUGGAAGAGGGUCGCGGAAUUCCCGGUGUAGAGGUGAAAUUCGUAGAUAUCGGGAGGACCACCAGUGGCGAAGGCGGCGACCUGGGCCAAUAUUGACGCUGAGGUGCGAAAGCGUGGGGAGCAAACAGG